AUUGAACGCUGGCGGCAUGCUUUACACAUGCAAGUCGAACGGUAACAGGCCGCAAGGUGCUGACGAGUGGCGAACGGGUGAGUAAUGCAUCGGAACGUGCCCAGUCGUGGGGGAUAACGCAGCGCAAGCUGUGCUAAUACCGCAUACGAUCUAUGGAUGAAAGCGGGGGACCGUAAGGCCUCGCGCGAUUGGAGCGGCCGAUGUCAGAUUAGGUAGUUGGUGGGGUAAAGGCCUACCAAGCCGACGAUCUGUAGCUGGUCUGAGAGGACGACCAGCCACACUGGGACUGAGACACGGCCCAGACUCCUACGGGAGGCAGCAGUGGGGAAUUUUGGACAAUGGGCGCAAGCCUGAUCCAGCAAUGCCGCGUGCAGGAAGAAGGCCUUCGGGUUGUAAACUGCUUUUGUACGGAACGAAACGGCCUGGGUUAAUACCCUGGGCUAAUGACGGUACCGUAAGAAUAAGCACCGGCUAACUACGUGCCAGCCGCCGCAGUAACAC
rnacentral:rRNA from 1 species